CGACCUCAGGUCAGGCAAGACAACCCGCUGAGUUUAAGCAUAUCACUAAGCGGAGGAAAAGAAACUAACAAGGAUUUCCCUAGUAGCGGCGAGCGAAACGGAAAGAGCCCAGCUUGGAAAUCGGGGUGUCUCUGCACCCCGAAUUGUAGUCUGGAGAAGGGUCCUCUGCAGCGGACCGGGUUUAAGUCCCUUGGAACGGGACGCCAGAGAGGGUGAGAGCCCCGUCUAGCCCGGACCCUGCUGCAUCACGAGGCUCUUUCGGCGAGUCGGGCUGUUUGGGAAUGCAGCACUUAAGUGGGUGGUAAAUUCCAUCCAAGGCUAAAUACUGGUGAGAGACCGAUAGCGCACAAG
rnacentral:ncRNA from 1 species